rnacentral:rRNA from 1 species
CAGUAGCCGCGGUAAUACGAAGGGUGCAAGCGUUACUCGGAAUUACUGGGCGUAAAGCGUGCGUAGGUGGUGGUUUAAGUCCGUUGUGAAAGCCCUGGGCUCAACCUGGGAAUUGCAGUGGAUACUGGGUCACUAGAGUGUGGUAGAGGAUAGUGGAAUUUCCGGUGUAGCAGUGAAAUGCGUAGAGAUCGGAAGGAACAUCUGUGGCGAAGGCGACUAUCUGGGCCAACACUGACACUGAGGCACGAAAACGUGGGGAGCAAACAGGAUUAGAUACCCCCGUAGUCCCUGUCUCUUAUAC